AUUGAACGCUGGCGGCAGGCCUAACACAUGCAAGUCGAACGAGUGGCGGACGGGUGAGUAAUGUCUGGGAAACUGCCAGAUGGAGGGGGAUAACUACUGGACACGGUAGCUAAUACCGCAUACCAUCGGAUGUGCCCAGAGGGGAUUCGCUAGUAGGGGGGGUAACGGCUCACCUAGGCGACGAUCCCUAGCUGGUCUGAGAGGAUGACCAGCCACACUGGAAAUGAUAAAAGGUCCAGAUUCCUAAGGGAGGCAGCAGUGGGGAAUAUUGCACAAUGGGCGCAAGCCGGAUGCAGCCAUGCCGCGUGUAUGAAGAAGGCCUUCGGGUUGUAAAGUACUUUCAGCGUGGAGGCGUUACUCGCAGAAGAAGCACCGGCUAACUCCGUGCCAGCAGCCGCGGUAAUUC
rnacentral:rRNA from 1 species